AUAACGUAUUCUAGACGGAAACAAACUAGACUCGUAUUCCAGACGGAAUUCCGUCUGGAAUAGGUUUUCUGGACGGAAUUUUAAUUAUUCCAGACGGAAUUUUCCGUCUGGAUUACGUCGUUUUGUACCAGUGUGUGGAUCUUUAUUUGCAGGAAGUUGUUGGAGUUGAAGGUUCUGUUCUGAGGCAGGGGAGAAGUGUUAUAGUAAUUUCGGUCGAGUUCAGGAUAAAAGAAACUCAGAAGCUCUUCUACACAUCUCGGGCCACUUUUUAUGUGAUGCAUUUCGCAAGUUUAUGAGUUCUCCGACAACUUCAAGUAAGAAGUUAUGGCCAUAUAUAAUGUGUUAGAUAAUAAUAUGUUGUUGUCAUAUCGAUGAAUUUGCAUAAGAUGAAGGAUUUUGUGUGCUCUGCGUAUCGAUGAAUUUGCACAAGACUAAUUACUGCCCAAAAACUGAAUGAACAUCAAUGCACAAUAAUUUUUUCUUCGUCUUUACGAUUACUUUCACAUUGAUGAUGCUAACAUAAAAUCUUUAUUGUAUUUCUCUCCCUCUGCUGUUGUAUAGGUGGAAGCAGAUGAAGCAUAUUUGAGUAAUGAAAGCACAGUAACCAAUAUAAACACCUUUUUUGAAGAUGCCUGUAAAUCGUCAUGUGAAGGAAUAAUGGCAAAAACUCUAGAUAUUGAUGCUGGAUAUUGUGCAUCAAAGCGCACUGAUGCCUGGUUAAAGGUCAAACGUGACUAUAUUGAAGAAUUGGGUGACAGUCUUGAUUUGGUACCCAUUGGCGCUUGGUAUGGGAAUGGAAGAAAAGCGGGAUGGUACAGCCCUUUCCUUAUGGCGUGCUACAACCCUGAUGCUGAAGAGUUUCAAGGUGUAAGAAC